UGCCUGGUGAAAUUCUUCAUAAUGAAAUA
rnacentral:piRNA from 1 species